CCAUUUAUGAUAACUCAAAGGGAAGCUCAUUACUUUUCGAAGCGAGAUCGGGAUGCCUUAGAACACGCACCUAUAAACCGAGAUAUAAGAAGGAAGAAGAAGCAUGUGCUUGCUGCGGUAAAGCUAGGGAAACGACGGAGCAUAUUUUAUUAGAAUGUGAAGACGUCUAUCCAGCGGUCGAUUUAGGCACCACUGGCCUCCUUGAAGCCCUUGGGUUCAGCGGGAGCAGUGGUAAAGCAAACAGGUCCGUAAUAGACAUCAGUAAGAGGCGAUUGGAGGAUUGGUGGAAGAAAAGUAGGGAAACGACAAAAGACGGAGACGUACAAAAGCACAGUUCGCAAUAGGGUAUCAGAAAAUUUGGACGUGGUAGUUCAUAGUGGGGUUUUUUUUGUUUUUUCAUCGGUUAACCUAUAUUAGGCAGCAUAGUAGCAAGAGCUUGGUGGCGCAAGCCACCGCCCCGUUCCAAAGGGGACGCUCAUAACAUCCAUCCAUCCAUCCAUGCCGACGGCGCGGCGGCAUGGCACAUGCUUGGAGACGCGAAUACAUCGGAGAGUGCACGUGUACAAUCUGGCGUCAGCUUCGCUCUAAAAUGUGUUGACAGCCAGAGGAAACCGCAAGGAAAUCAAGGUACGUCUCUGUAUAUCCUCAAAUCAGGUUUGCACAGUGCACGUUGUUUCUUGUAGCAUAAUACGAUCGAGACGCAGCUAAAGCUGCGUUGAUGCAUGACUGUUUCGUUUUCUAGCAUUUGUGAACCACCGAGUUUCGUGGAUGACGUCAACAGUUUGCUGACGCCCUUGAAAGUGAUGCCCUUGCAGCGGCCACCUUCAACAGUGGAAACCGCUGCAGUAGCAUACGUCGCCGGUUUUGUCGUGAAAGCGAUAGAAGAACAAAGAAUGUGCAGCGCCUGCCCAAGACUGAAUGAUUCGGGACCAUCAAUAUCACCACUGAUGGGACUUAUUGACCGGAACUAGAGGUGGUUUGGUGUUCCCAAAGCCCGAGUUUGUAGCUGUUCUUGUAAAAGUAAAGAAGGCCAUCGACAUCGCAGUGCCACGUAUUGGCACAAACGAUGUGUGCAAGAAGAUCACGGCAAUGAUUUUGCCGCAUCUGGAGAGCUGCCCUCUAUUUAUAUGCGAGGCAAGAGAGGACCAUGCCUCGGUCACAUCCUCAAUAGUGGUAAAGAAAUUGAUAAAGCCUCUCCUAUCAAACAUUGCCGCUCUUGUUACGGACAGAGUGGCCUAUCACAAAAAAUUAAUCACUAAGCCGCUCAGUCGAAAGGCUUUGCGCGUUUAAACAGCUCGAGCGCGCGCGAGCUGACAACUUUUUAUUGUAAAUAAAUUCCUGCAUACACUGA